rnacentral:lncRNA from 1 species
CGAGCUCCCCCUGAGCCGCCUGGGAGCAGGGAGGGUUCUGCUACCCUGAGGUGCCCUCCCCGCGGGGCAGAGGGGUUUCCUCAGCAGUGCCCCAGAGCAGGGACUGCGCCAGCCGGCAGAAACAGCUAGUUCUUGUCUGCAGUGAAGAAUAAUUGGAAGCAUGGUGCCUGUUUCUUUUCCUCUCAUCCUCGUCUACGGCCAAACGUUGGUUUCUCAUUUCUAGAAUGAAAGAUGUGAUGACUUAGGGAAAACUGGGAUCUUAGUAACUGUGGUGGGCACUGAGCCUUGCCGUCCACAAGAGAAAGCUUGCUGCUCGAGAUGUGAGUCUUCAGAUGUUCCUGCCGCCAUAUCUGACAGCUGCUGCCAAGAUUCCCUGGUGGGAUGGACUCUUAUACCUCGACAACCAGAAGCCCAAGUAAACUCUUCUAUAAAUUGAAUGACUCAUGCUUAAAAAAAACUAUC